rnacentral:lncRNA from 1 species
CAGUGUUUGUCUAAACAUUCAAACAUUAUAUAUAUUUAAGGGAAAGUACAAGAACUGCUACUUUUUAUUAUUUUUAAAGGUUACCAUAACUGGACUUCUCAUUGAGGCCAUGACUCUGAAGACUGGAUGCAACACUUGGCCAAGACUCACAAUUAGUGAAUGAUCAUAGAAUUUUUGCACUCUGGCACUUUUUCAUUCUGUCAUGUGAGCCAUAUGUGACCUUAUGCUGGCUCUCUUUAGAGAAGAUCUCAGCAAUCCAGAGGAAAAUGAGGGUUCCUUUCUUCCUACAGUUGCUUUGUUCUGAAACUCAGAUCCAUCCACAUGUGUUCAGGGCAAUACUGGCAUCUCGAGGACCUCUGCUAUCGACCCAUCAAAACCAAGAUGGUUCAGGAAAUGUGGAUAAGGAGACCAAUGAUAACAUUCACUGCACCACAGGAGAAGGCUUUUGGUGCAGUUUAUAAAUCAUAUUGUGCUGUUUGGGGAGCCCUAAAGAACAAAUUGAGUGGAAAAUUACAUAAACCCCUCAGCAGAUGUUCUUUCCCACAUUGUUUGGGAAUUUAUCCCUGUUGCACAGUUCUUCUAAGGCCCAUGCCAAGUUGAAUGGGGACA